AUUGAACGCUGGCGGCAGGCCUAACACAUGCAAGUCGAACGGUAACAGGAAGAAGCUUGCUUCUUUGCUGACGAGUGGCGGACGGGUGAGUAAUGUCUGGGAAACUGCCUGAUGGAGGGGGAUAACUACUGGAAACGGUAGCUAAUACCGCAUAACGUCGCAAGACCAAAAAGGGGGACCUUCGGGCCUCUUGCCAUCGGAUGUGCCCAGAUGGGAUUAGCUAGUAGGUGGGGUAACGGCUCACCUAGGCGACGAUCCCUAGCUGGUCUGAGAGGAUGACCAGCCACACUGGAACUGAGACACGGUCCAGACUCCUACGGGAGGCAGCAGUGGGGAAUAUUGCACAAUGGGCGCAAGCCUGAUGCAGCCAUGCCGCGUGUACGAAGAAGGCCUUCGGGCUGUAAAGUACUUUCAGCGGGGAGGAAGGGAGUAAAGUUAAUACCUUUGCUCAUUGACGUUACCCGCAGAAGAAGCACCGGCUAACUCCGUG
rnacentral:rRNA from 1 species